rnacentral:rRNA from 1 species
AUGGAGAAGCCCACGCGGCCCGUACCCGCGGACGGCGGGGAAUUCCCCGACGGCGCGGACGACAGGGCGGCGGUGGAGGUGGAGGACGAGGCGGGGGAGGAAGAGGAGGAGCCGCCGCGAUCGGCGACGGCCAAGGAGGAGGAGGCCAAGGCAGCGCUGGGCGCCGAGGGGUCCCAGCCGUUCACCACGCGGGAGCUCGUCGGUGAGAUCAAGGAGGACGGCGAGGCGGACGGGGGCGGAGGCGUUGGGGAGGGGGGCGGGGUCGGAUCCGCCGAUGCUGAGGGUUCUUCGUCCAGCGGAGAGAGCAUGCGGCAGUUUUCAUCCCAUCAUGAUGUAGCCAUGGAAUUAAUAAAUAGUGUCACUGGAGUGGACGAGGAAGGUCGUUCUCGCCAAAGGAUUCUUGCUUUUGCUGGAAAAAGAUAUCUAAAUGCAAUUGAAAGAAAUCCUGAUGACCCUGAUGCAUAUUAUAAUUGGGCCCUAGUCCUCCAGGAGAGUGCAGAUAAUGUGGACCCCAAUUCUGGUUCCUCCAAAGACGCGUUACUUGAGGAGGCCUGCAAAAAGUAUGCUGAAGCUACCCGACUUUGCCCGACUCUUUAUGAUGCAUACUAUAACUGGGCCAUUGCUAUUGCUGAUCGAGCUAAAAUACGAGGUCGUACCAAAGAAGCCGAAGAUCUCUGGAGACUGGCAAUACUGAAUUAUGAGAAGGCUGUCCAGCUAAAUUGGAAUAGCCCACAGGCUCUAAAUAAUUGGGGUCUUGGACUACAGGAACUGAGCGCCAUUGUUCCUGCUCGGGAGAAACAAACCAUCAUAAAAACAGCUAUAAGUAAGUUUCGUGUUGCUAUCCAAUUGCAAUUUGAUUUCCAUCGGGCUAUAUACAACCUUGGAACUGUCUUGUACGGUUUAGCUGAGGAUACCAUGAGAUCUGGGAGGCCAGACGUAUCCCCUAAUGAGCUUUACAGUCAGUCUGCUAUCUAUGUUGCAGCUGCUCAUGCAUUGAAACCAAGUUACUCGGUCUAUCGCAGUGCUUUGCGACUAGUCCGCUUGAUGUUGCCUUUGCCAUACCUCAAAGUGGGAUAUUUGACCGCUCCUCCAGCCAACAAUGCCAUUGCACCACACACUGAUUGGGAGAGGUCACAGUUUGUUCUGAACCAUGAGGGACUCCAGAAGGCCGAUGCCUCUGGCCAGCCUCCAUCACAAUCAAUGGACAGAGGAAGAAAGCCUACCCGAAUAGCUGUUGAGGAUAUUGUUUCUGUGUCAGCAUCCGCUGAUCUAACAUUGCCACCUGGUGCUGGUCUUUGUGUAGAUACUGUUCAUGGACCUAGGUUCUUGGUUGCUGAUAGCUGGGAGGCUCUUGACAGUUGGCUAGAUGCUUUAUGCCUAGUCUACACUAUAUUUGCAAGAGGGAAAAGUGGCGUUCUUGCUGGUAUUAUUACUGGCUAA